CCCUGGCAGUCAGAGGCGAUGAAGGACGUGCUAAUCUGCGAUAAGCGUCGGUAAGGUGAUAUGAACCGUUAUAACCGGCGAUUUCCGAAUGGGGAAACCCAGUGUGUUUCGACACACUAUCAUUAACUGAAUCCAUAGGUUAAUGAGGCGAACCGGGGGAACUGAAACAUCUAAGUACCCCGAGGAAAAGAAAUCAACCGAGAUUCCCCCAGUAGCGGCGAGCGAACGGGGAGCAGCCC
rnacentral:rRNA from 1 species